rnacentral:lncRNA from 1 species
AUGAGCCUGUUUUCCCUGUCAGCAUCCGAGCAUCAUCUGAUGUCAGAGAACAUUGCUGUGUUUUGUGUCUGCGUUCUUUCAAGUACGGCGCUCACCUCUGAUGACGGUUGCCUUCUGAUUCAGCAACCCACAGAAGUUCUCAAGGUGCAGGGGGCAGAUGUCGCAGAGGUCCGUGGGCUUGGUAUUUCUCCCCAUCAUCUCAGCGGAUGUCAAAUACUCACGGACACGGUUACAUGCAGUGGUUCCUUGAAGUAG